AAAAACCUAACUUCAAACACUAACUCCCUCUCUUUUUGGCCGGAGAAUCAAAAUCCGGCCUUCCUUUCCCCUAAAUCGUCCUCAAUCGACCGGAUCGAGACGAAAACGAGCCUAAAACUCGACCAACCGAAAACCCAAACAAACGACCAAAACAAAACCUAAAACUCCUUUCAAACAGCCAAUAGAAACCACAUGGAGACAAAAUAGUUUAAACCUAAACCCUAAAUUUGAAAUUAAACCUUCAGUAGUUGCAUUUCAAUGAAAUCAUAAAGGGGGUUUUACUCAACUCACAAAGACGAAUGCAAUAGUAUGGAGAUUUUUGGAAAAGAAGGGAGAAAAAGACUACUUGAUCGGAG
rnacentral:lncRNA from 1 species